rnacentral:lncRNA from 1 species
GUACAGCUGCCUGUGGACCUGAACCCGCUGAGAUGCCGGUGCCUGCCCCUCUGAGGAUGAGGCCCCCUCUCCCAAAAGUAACGUUCCUCGGGGUCAUGCAGUGAGCAUGGGCAAAGAGAACGGACGACAGUUGCAUCAGACACAGGAAAGGGCGAUUCACACAAAGGCUCCAAAGGCUUGUCUGUUUGCGAACUCAGGCUGGUGCGUGGUAGGGUCUGAGUUCAGGGACUGGUUUCUAGGAACCUACGACCUGCGUGUUGAUGGCGGCAGGCCUCAGAGGGGAGGCUCCAUCUGGGAGGAGGAGAGACGAUACCUUCUGGGGGUCUUGGCACAGGCAGGCUAUGGGAAGAGGAACAUGAAAAUAUCAUUUCUCACUGAGCUUGCCGAAUAAAGGUUGUCAUGGAAGAAUCGCUUUGAUGGAAAGGUGAUAACAGCAGGGCUAAGGUCCUUCAUUGUUGCAGCUAAAGAUCAACUUGUCUCUAUUCUGUUCUUUCAGAAGCUUCAGUGGCACCUUGUACAUCGAGCUAAACUUUAAAAGCAGUUCAAGUAUGUGUUUAUCCUUAGUUCAAUCUUGGAUGAACUAGAGUUGGACAGAAAGGAUUUUCUGUGCACAGAUAUGAAAAGAAUACAACCAACUGAAAUUACCUUUGGAAAUAAAUCUCUCACCAAUGUCAUUAAUGAAAGAAUGAGAGCUCCUAUUUCUGGGAAAAACAUAAUUUCAAGUAUGUUGCGUGGGUUUGAAAUGUCAUUGUCACCCUCCCUUCUGUAUUUUACUCAAGAUAGUCAGUGUAUUCAAUGGGUAUUACAGCACAUGGAAAUGAGAAGUAUUAUCAGUAUUUUUACAAAGAUUUUAACGUCUUUAAACAGACUUUUCAAAGCAGUAGUGGAAGAGAGAGAAAGUAAGAGAGUGCAAAAGACUGAGAGUGAAUUUGUGGAUACAGUGAGGAGGGAGACAGCAGCAUUUAAGGAUGUGCUGAGUUGAAUCGAACCUAUGGGAAGAUGUUUGUAGACAAUUGUGCUAAUGAAAAGAGAAGAAAAAAUAAAACACACUGAUGAAAAGACUGGACCAUUACUACUGACAUCUUGCUAGACUAAGGCUUGAUUUGGCUUACAUUUUAGUCAUGAGAAUGGUCAUUUUCCUCUCUGGAAACCAUUUUCAAAAAUUUAUGAGUAAGUAAAAUUUUCUGCUUUAUAGCCCAAGUCUCUUGCCCCAUCUCCAAAGCUAGGGAAGGAUGGAAGUGUGCUGGCAAACAUGUUCAGACUCUGCUCGGAGGACACGACACUAUUCUUAGUACUGCCGACUUAAGAGGAAUGUCCAUUGAAGUGAACCGUGUCGAACAGUUUUGAAACCAAUGUUUCUUGGAGCCUGAGACCUCAAGUUCUGAGUAUUCAAAAUUUGUGACCUGGGGAUUGCAUUCGUCCAAAAGGAACCACCUUAUGUGACUCCCUGCAAGGCUCCUGAAAUAAAAAAAGAGGCCUGUCCCACCAGACGCCAUCAGCCCAGAGUGAAGGGGUCACUCUCAGGCCAGGUGGCCCUGAUUGUCACUAGUUCCUUUGAAUUGAUCAAUUACCCACAUUAACGUGGAUCUAGGGAUAAAAUUGUGACUGAGUACUUCUCUUGCUCUUUAGCAAUACAAUUGUUUAUCAGUUUAACAAAAGUCACUUCCCCAAGUCUAUUUACAACUUUGAACCUCGGAAUCUCCAUCUCAGAGCCACCCUCAAAUAAAAUGGCUUCCCACCAAGUUUCCUCUCCUGCAGCCACUGGUAACACAAAUUUAUGCUACCACCCGAGGGGUCCAGAGAGCCAGCGCUCAUGGUGCUAUUACCAAACACCUGGGUUUUGAUUUUCCUUUGCUCCUCCUCAGCCAUGUCAGAAAAUUUAAUAAUACAAUAAACAUUGACAGUUGACAUAAAUUAUAGCUAUGUAUUAUCCCU